rnacentral:rRNA from 1 species
AUGGUGCGAAUUCUCUUUGACUAGGGAUCCAAAGAGGGUGCUAGACCCUUACGCAUUGUUGACUUUUCGUACGCGUUCGUUUCUUGGAGUAGGGUUGUUUUGGAUCGCAGCCCAAAGUAGGUGGUAUACUUCAUCUAAAGCUAAAUACGACUACGAAUCCGAUAGCAAACAAGUACCGUGAGGGAAAGUUGCAAAGUACUUUGAAGAGAGAGUUCAAGAGGACGUGAAACCGGUAGGGUGGAAGCAGAUAAAGUUGACGAACGUGUGUCGUAUUCAGAACUACAAUUUGUGGUUUGUUUUUACGAUCGAUGUGGGCUGGCGUCUUUGGUUAACUUAGUGUCUGGCGGCAAUGGUGACCCUGCGGAGGGAUAAUCGGUUGUCGUGCGAUGCUUGGUAUGGCUAGAGGUUCGCUGGUCUUAUAGUCAUCGCUUUAUUUGACCCGUCUUGAAACACGGACCAAGGAGUGUAGCGCUUACGCGAGUCUUAGAGUGUGUCAAAACUUUGAGGCGUAACGAAAGUAAAUGUGGAUUUAUUCACUGACUUGGGAUGCGUUGUCUUUUUUGGAUAGCGUUGGACCAUGGUUUUAUCGUAAUCGCUUGCGAUGCG